UAAUACAGAGGCCUCGAGCGUUAAUCGGAAUCACUGGGCUUAAAGCGUACGUAGGCGGAUAUGCAGGCGUCGUGUGAAAGCCCCCGGCUCAACCGGGGAACUGCACGGCGAACCGCAUGUCUUGAGUCAAGUAGGGGCUGUCGGAACGCUAGGUGGAGUGGUGAAAUGCGUUGAUAUCUAGCGGAACGCCGAAGGUGAAAACAGGCAGCUGGGCUUGCACUGACGCUGAGGUACGAAAGCGUGGGUAGCGAACGGGAUUAGAUACCCCGGUAGUCCACGCCGUAAACGAUGCGCACUAGAUCGAGGAGGUUCUGACACCAUUCUCGGUCGAAGUAAAAACGUUGAGUGCGCCGCCUGGGGAGUACGGUCGCAAGGCUA
rnacentral:rRNA from 1 species